rnacentral:rRNA from 1 species
AUUGAACGCUGGCGGCAGGCCUAACACAUGCAAGUCGAACGAGUGGCGGACGGGUGAGUAAUGUCUGGGAAAAUGCAUGAUGGAGGGGGAUACCUACUGGAAACGGUAGCUAAUACCGCAUACCCUCGGAUGUGACCAGAUGGGAUUAGCUAGUAGGUUGGGUAAAGGCUCACCUAGGCGACGAUCCCUAGCUGGUCUUAGAGGAUGACCAGCCACACGUGAACUGAGACACGGUCCAUACUCCGACGGGCGGCAGCAGUGGGGAAUAUUGCACAAUGGGCGCAAGCCUGAUGCAGCCAUGCCGCGUGUAUUAAGAAGGCCUUCGGGUUGUAAAGUACUUUCAGCGGGGAGGCGUUACCCGCAGAAGAAGCACCGGCUAACUCCGUGCCAGCCGCCGCGGUAAUAC